UACGAAGGGGGCUAGCGUUGUUCGGAGUUACUGGGCGUAAAGGGCGCGUAGGCGGCACUGUUAGUCAGGCGUGAAAGUCCUGGGCUCAACCUGGGAACUGCGCUUGAUACGGCAGAGCUAGAGGAUGGAAGAGGCUCGCGGAAUUCCCAGUGUAGAGGUGAAAUUCGUAGAUAUUGGGAAGAACACCGGUGGCGAAGGCGGCGAGCUGGUCCAUUACUGACGCUGAGGCGCGACAGCGUGGGGAGCAAACAGG
rnacentral:rRNA from 1 species